CUGUCGUCGACAAAGUCAGCAAAGCGGUCUGUGACGCCAUCAUGAGGGGCGGUGGCGCAGGCGCAGUGGCUACUCCCGGCACUGUGUGGGUAGCUGCACUUCCGACCGGGCAUCUCACUCUGGCACAGCAAACCUACUGACCUCUUCGACACUUUGACUCGCUGGCUUUGGGUUGACGGCUUCUCGGCGCCCACAUUAGUCAAUGGCGUCAUGGCCGCAGUGCCUGGGGCCGGGCACCCGACUUUUCUGGCCAUCUCUUAGCAAAGAGGAAGGAUGGAAACCGCGUCGCGAAAAGGUGGAAAGACCACCUCCCAAUUGGACAGAGGAUGCCUGAGACUGGAUUCAUUGCUUUCAAAGUUCCUUUGCAAAAGGUAAGAAAAGAUAAUUCUGUAUUCUUUCAGAAAUCUAAAUUCACCACAGAAUACUGGUUUUGCAUUC
rnacentral:lncRNA from 1 species